ensembl:lncRNA
UGCCUUUGGGUUUAGGGUUUUCUGUUUUGUUUUGUUGUUUACUAUUUUCUAAUCAAAAUGAAACAGUAUUAAGUCAACGAAAAGAAUCUCUUUCUUAUUCUCCCUGUUGUUUCUUUUCUUUUUCUAUCUUGCUACAUACAGCUGUCUUCUCAGAUUAGGAUGGUGCCUAGAAUUCAAGCCCUCAGCACAUGUGUUUGUGAUGAUUAUUGUGACAAGGGAGACUAACUGUCCAAUUAAAAUCUCUGCUUACCCUUCCACAGUUUAUAUAGUUGCCUCUGUCAAAAGGAUUCCCAGUUAGAACCUUUACUUAGCAGCACAUUUUUGCACACAGGUGAGACAAGGUGAUAAUCUUGCCCCCAAAAUGUGAGCAGAGAUGAGGAAAAUUGACCAACAGGGUUAGAAGGAACUUCACAUUGCCUUUCGACUUCUGUUUGAUGGCUUCAGAGGACCCCAACAGAAUGACACUUCAGGAACGGAAGAAUUCAGAGGCUAGAUUAUUACAAGGACAACACUAUAACACUCAGAAGCUAAUAAUGCAAUGGAGGACUAGCUCCCACUCUCUGAAGGGAUUUGACAGACAUCUCAGUAAUCUAGUAGAUGACAGUUUCAUAUUCCAGACGCUGGAGGUGGACUCACAUCUCCAAGAACAUUUCAACUAUAAAAUGCUUUCACUGUGAAACUAGAAGCAUUCUAACCUUUCCUGAAAAAACUUCUGUGGCUUCACUACUGUGAACUUGGCUAGGAGCAAGGUGAUUCAUGUAGCUCUUCAUUGGAAGACUACAAAGGUGGGAAGGUUCACCAUAACUACAAUUAAAGCAGCCCUCUUUGAGGUCAAAGUCCACCAGGGUGGUCAUCCCUCCUACUACUAUUUGUGUGAUUGGCUCUCCAGUGUGGUGGGCUCUGACAGUUGGACAUUUUUUCUUCCUCUACUAUUAACACUUCCAAUAGCCAACAUGUUGGAAAUUAUUUAGAAAGUAUCUGCACAAUUCUAGGUGAUUGGUCAGCCAACAUAUUCAUCAAGUCCUCUUGAGAUCCAAAUCAGGGAAGCUUGCAAACUUUGAUUCAAAACACUAGAAGGGGCAAUGCAAUAGAGCAAAUUUUAAUGCUCUGGCUUAUUCCACUGCACGUAUCUGCUCACUCAGGCAUUUUCUAUGAGAAUGGAAAAAAUAUAGCAUGGUGGUUAAAAAUAGACUCUGGGAGUAGCCUGCCUGGAUUUGCCUGAUUCUUCUGCCUGUCAAGACUGUGUAGGGAAAGGAAGCAUCUUUUCUUCCCAUGUUUGGUUCAGGGCUGAAGCCCCCAUAAUGAAAGACAGAUUAAGAAGAGAAAAGCACACAAAUGUGUUUAAUGUUUUAUAAGACAUUGGAGACUUUAUAAGAAAAUGAAGUCCCCAAACCCAGGUUAACCUGUGUAUGUUUUAUGAUAGGUUUGAUGAAGAUGUGGGUAGUCAUGGAGAAAUAUAAGUUAGACAAAUGGGAUAUGAUUUAAUGGUGAUUGAUCUAAAGGGGGUUAUGACUGAAUGGGAGGUUGGGGGGCAUAGCAAGGCCUGUUAGUUCAGAUUUUUUCUCUGUCCUGUGUCUUCAGAGAUAAAGAUCUUUCUUUCUUUUG